AGAACACCCUAGCCCAAGGGAUGCAGGGGAAUAUGUGAUGGGAAUGUACUGGAAGGGAGGUGGCUCACAUAAUGCAUUGGGGACAUUUUACCUACAAGAUAUGCUUAACUCCUCAGACUGGGUAGGGACUACACAUAUGGUCAUUAACCCAUUGAAACCACACAUGAAGACCCUACAUGACAUGGUAGCUAUAGCUAACCCCACCUUUGAGGAUAC